CCAAUUUCAAUCGUUCCAUAGGCAGCACUGAGGUAAAGAACCACUGGCAGGGAGCUUGCAUUGCUGUCCAUGGAGUGGAUGAGCAGAAUGCAAGCACCUCAAAAGCUUGUUUUCUGCUCGGAUAUAGGAUAUGUGUAAAGGAGAAGCAGACGAAGACCAAUGACUCUCUGAGGAUAUAUUCCACAGACUGUUGAGGACGGCUCUGUCACAUGUCUCUGGUCAGCAAUGGGAGCAGACGCCACUGACGGAGAGCACAUUGAGCAGCGUAUGAAGACGGAGGGUGAUCAAUGAAAACCCCC